AUUCAGUAUAGAUAUACAUACUGUAGCACUUGAAUGAGCGGGCAAGGUUACUGAUAAUUGGAAAAUAUAACAUAAUCGAAGCUGUGUAACACAAAAUUAAGGUUAAGGGUUAGGGCCGCGAAUUUGGCAUUUAUCAUGUUGAUAAAUUUGGACGCGUUUAACAAUUUACUCAUAUAGUAAAUUGUGGAGCUCAUGCUGUAAAUUACACUGUACAUAUAAUCUUGAUAAAAAACUUUUCACGACAUAUGGCGCCGGACAAAUGGUUCAUUUGGUGCCGGAAAAAAUUUUGCGGACAUAAAAUCGUUUAUUUUUUGCCGACAAUUUUCUUAAUUUUUUUAGAUUUUUAGAUGUAUCAUCUGGGUCCUGGGAUUUAUAUUCUGAGUUCAUCAAUCUUGCAUCAAUAAAUUUUAAGGAUCCCUUGUUCUGCGAGCCCCGCCCGAGAUAAUGUUCCCCUCUGCCUCUCUCUCGGCGAUCCUGCAUGCAGUAGAUGUAAAUUGAUAACGAAAGAUUCAAUAUAUAUACAAUUUUAGACUUAACUACAGGAGCAGCUGCGAAAAUGCUGUCAUCUGACAGGAAUCGAACCUGUGGGUAAAGAUAAAGAUUUUUGGGAAUAUGACGCUGGAAAUCUCAAUUUGCGCUUGGGAUUUUUCUUGAAAUUUGUGCUUGAAAUUUCCAUUCUACAUAAAUCCUUCAAUCUGUUCAUAUCUUAUAUAAUGGCAUCACCUGUACUAAAUACUGUAUAUAAACAAGAACUUGUGUUUGGAGUUCGACAACUGAACUCUAUAACUCAGUUGGUUAGAGCACUGCAACGGAAUUACAGGGCCAUAGGUUCGAUUCCUGCUAUAGUUCUAUUUUCAGCAGCUGGUUAUAGGACUAAAUUAAAUAUAUAUAAAUCUUCCACUCGAAAUUCUCAUCCUACAUAAGGCCUUCAAUCUCGGGAUCAAGUGGUCUUAGAAUCAGGGGCGUAGGAAGAGGGGGGCAGAGGGAACACGUCCCCCCCCUCCCAAAUUGUUUCAAAGGACCAAAAGUGUCCCUUUUUGUGAUGAAAAGUGCCCUUUUUGUACAAGCUAAUGUCGCUGUAAAUACUAAAUUAACGUCAAAGGUGCCCUUCUUGUUUAGAGAUUUCGAUGUUUUUUAAAAAAAAUUGGUCAAAAACGUGCCAUUGCGUUAUGGUAUGACGGGAAAACUUUUCUUAAGCUACUAGUUGUCCAAUCGACAUGUGUGAUGCGAUCGUGACUAAAACACCACACGAGUACAUACGAGUAACAUACGAGUAACACACAAGUACAUACGAGUACAUACGAGUAACACACAAGUACAUACGAGUAACAUACGAAUACAUACGAGUAACACACGAGUACAUACGAGUAACAAACGAGUAAAACACAAGUACAUACGAGUAGAAUACGAGUACAUACGAGUAAAAUACGACUAGUAAACUUGUUUUUAGUGUUUGUAGAUUGAAUACAGGCAAAAAGAUCGUCUUUUCCGUCGAAAAACGCGGAAUGGGGGAACGGGAAAUGGAGGAACAGGGAAUGGAGGGAACGGAGAACGGGGAAUGGAGGAACGAGUAACGGGGGGGGGGGGAAUCGAGCAAUUAUGAAUUAUUAUUAAUACAUAUUAAUCAUAUGUACGGGGGGAAAAGAACAGAAAAAAGAAACAGAAAUUCGACAGGAUAAACGGGAAUCAGGGAAUUACGAAACUAUAAAACGGACUCUGGUGUCUUGGGAAUUAGAAAACCGCUCAAUGAAUUAAAGCUAGUAAAGAAAUUUAUUGAAGCUUUCCUUUAUUAGUACAGCGUAUCAUAAAAAAGUCAAUCCACAUUGCUUAUGU